rnacentral:RNase_P_RNA from 1 species
AAAGCUUGACAGACAAUCGCUGGUGAGAAAUCACGAGAGGAAAGUCCGGGCUCCACAGGGCAAUGAUGCUGGAUAACGUCCAGUCAGCGCGAGCUGAAGGCUAGUGCCACAGAAAUGGACCGCCGAUGGCGUGGGGUUAAACUCACGCACAGGUAAGGGUGGAACCGUGGUGUAAGAGACCACGAGGAGAUAUGGUGACAUAUGUCCUGGUAAACCCCAUUUGGUGCAAGACCUAAUGGAACGCACGUCUCCUUGGAGACAGUCUCUGCCCGGGACGCGUUCGGGUUGGUCGCUGGAGCCAAACGGCAACGUUUGGCCUAGAUAGAUGAUUGUCGCUUCAAUGGUGGGAGGGUGGUACCCGAUACGACCACUGGAAGUACAGAACCCGGCUUAUGCGCAAGCUUUCCUA